CAUCGCCAGCUUCCCCCGUGCGUUCUGCAGAAAAGUGUACACAGCUGAUGGUGAAGGCGAAGACACGGGACAAGGGGCGGUGGAGAGGCGGCGGUGGCUCGUACUGCGCCAGGGGAGCGUACAUCGCUGUAGCGUCAUCGGUGGUAGAGCCACUCCACUGCAAAAGAAGACAACGGCAGCUCGCGCAGCUGACUGUGGCGGCAGUGCACGUAACGCGGCACACAGCAGCACGGCGGUGGUACCACUCGCAGUCCAGGGAGCCUCCGAGUGGCGGUGAUUUGUCACCACGUGCUGAAUGUGGGCCCGCGCCAUCGAGCGAAGCGGCUCCGUCCGAGUAUGGGGACGCGAAGGAGGAGCGCCCAUCUCUGCUCAGCGAGCUGCUUCGCCGACUACAACAGACGGCAGGUGUCUCGGCCGGCGGCAGGUGCGCGAGUGCACACGCCGCGGACUUGCCGAUGGAGAUCAGUGCUCAGGAGGGGGCAGCAGUGCCCGCUGCAGCGUCAUCGGCUCUGGAUGCGUCUAGCCGUCACGAUUGUCUACGCAGUUCGGCAGGGGCCGAGGAAGAGGCGUACGUGCCGCUCCUCUUCCGGCCCGACUUUCAGCGCGCCAACCCACACGCGCGCCGGCACGCCGCCGCUGCGAUUACAGCAGCGGAGCCAGAAGCAGCGGCACCAACGAUCACAGUCGAUCUUCGUUGGCGUGCCGUAGACGAGUGCGGCGUGCAGGCGGCACGCGGCAGUUUACGGAAACGCACCUCACACAAAACGCUUAAGCCAGUUGCACUCGAGGCCGCACCUGCGGCAGCGCGCUCACUCGCGCCACGCGGGGAUGCGGAAGCGGCCAAAUUAGGCGAUCCACACACAGAUGUCGCUGCAUCGCCUGCGUUGGUGUGCAAUGACGACGCGCUUCUCGAAGAGUUCGACAUGGACAGCAUCUCUGCCUUUGAUCUAGGUGGCGAACAGGGAGAGGGGCGCGCGAUCAACGAGGAGAGGGAUCAACAGCUCGAUGGCGACGCCUCCGCGGCGGCAGCAUCACCAGCACAUCAGGAAGGCGUUUCGAAAGACAACUGGGAUGAUCAGGCGUACGGCGCUGUUGAAAAGGACAUCGAAGACGUGGAAGAUUGUAUCAGCGACGAUGCCCUGCCCGUCGCACCUGCCGCCUCUGUCGGUGAUGCUGUGCGGACAGCCGAUAAGCGCACUCGCCAGCUCAUAUUGGACCCAGUGGAGUGGCUGGCCCAGGCCUCCGACGCGCCGCUCAUGGACGAGGCCCUGCUCGAGUCGAACACGCACAUCAAGGACCAACUUACUGAGGCACUCGCGCCGUCCGCUGCCGCCAAGUACACGGAGUGGCUUCGCCAUCGAACGCACGAUGCCGCCUUCAGCGACGCGGAGGCGGCAAUCGGCGAAGCGCCGCCGAGCGCGGGCCAUGUGGUAGCGAUGGUCGCCAAGGGCUUUGAACCGGCAACGGCAGCAUUUAUGGCAUCAGCAUCGCAGCAGAGCAUCGACGCCGAGGAAGACACGAGCUUGCAGGAGGCGCUGACUGCUGAGCUUUACGCCGACGUUUCUCGAGCCAUCCGCAAGCAGCAGUGGCACCGACCGCGCAACAAGAAGGCGAAGCGCGGCAAGGCGGCCGCCGCCGCCUCCUCGAUUCAUGCUGACACAGACGGAGACCGCCUCACGGAUGCAGAGCACCCGUCAGAGGCGCCUCUGAGUCGUGAGAACGACGCGGCAACGAUGGAAGCCGAGGCACCGCCUCCUGCCGCCCAGUCUGCAGCCCCCCUCAACCCAGACGAGGGUGCAGAUGGAACCGUUGGCGGUGCGCUGCCGGCACCUUGUCACCAAGUCGCUACCGCCUUGCUCAGGGCACCGAAGAGGGAUAGCACGACUGCGCCAGCGGUGGAGUCGGGCGCACUCGUCUACAACAUUUUUACGCGCCGUGUCGCCAAGGCUGGAUCGAUGAGCAUCCGCACACUGGCACUGAUGGGCAUCGGCGUCGACCGAGCCACGCGUGAGCUCUGCGUGACGGACGGCGAGGCACUGCGGAACCUCGCUGGCGAGCUGCGUGCCCACCGUGUCUCCUGGCCAAAGUUCUGGUCGCGCGGCCCCCUUUAUCAACAGAUUGAGCGUCUCCUGAGCGAUGCGACCGUCGAGGACCCCGUGGAGCGAGUGUCUGGGCUGCUGAAGUUGCAGUACAGCCGAUCCCACCUGCAGCGGCAGAAGCCUGGUCUUGUCGUAUGCGGAGAGACGACAGAGUCGGAGCAAACACCAUCAGCGGCUGUAGAGGCGACCACUGCACAGCCUAGUAUGAUGGAGAGCAUCGAUGAUAAGCUCCUCACCCUUCAGGACCUUAACACGGAGCAGCAAGCCGUCGUGCAGCUGGUCAUGCAGGGACAUCAUACGUACAUCGGUGGCGGCGCUGGCACGGGCAAGUCGGUGCUGCUCCGUGUCAUCAAGCAGCAGCUUGUUCGUGAAGGGCUGGCUGUGGCUGUCACGGGGACGACUGGCAUUGCCGGCUCUCAGAUCGGCGGGUGCACGCUGCAUCACUGUCUCGGUAUCAGCCCUCUCGGCGAGUUCACGCGUCGCAAGGACUUGAGCAGCUACGACGUCAUUAUCAUUGAUGAGGUGUCGAUGCUUUCACGAGAUCUCUUCGAGUCGCUGGAGGUGCACCUGCGCCGCGCCAACAACAUCAACCUCCCCUUCGGCGGUGUGCAGAUGAUACUGAGUGGCGACUUUCUGCAGCUCGGCGCCAUUCACGCGCAGCCGCUCAUCACGUCCACUGUCUUCCGCCGCAACUUCGUUCAGCUGAAGUUGCGCACGGCGGUGCGGCAGAACCGCGACCUGCACUUUGCCGCCCAGCUGCAGCAGCUUCGGCGCGGAAUGGUGCCACUGGACCUACCGAAAUCGGUGCGGUUCAUGUCACGAGAGCAGGUGGUGGCCGAGCACCAUGCAGCGUCUGAGCUUCGUGAGCGCCAGCAGGCUCAGCUGCAGCAGGUCCUGUCCACCGCAACCAGCGAGCCCUCCAUAGACCCUCACACGGAGACAGUGGCGACCUCCAACGCUGCCGAUGAGAGCCUUCGGACUCAGUCCGCGGCGGCGACCACGCCUGUGAGUCCGUUCCCACAAGUGAGGCGCCGCGACAGCGUGGCUGCAUUCGUGGACGGCGCUGUGAACCUGUUGCCGACGAAUCGCGAGGUCGACGCGACCAACACGGAGCAGCUGGACAGGUUGGAAGGGGAUCUCAUCACCUUUGCGCCUCAGCUCCUGCCCCCAUCCCUCGUGGGCACCUGGUCUCCGACGUAUGUGCUGCGCAUCCAUGCGCCACCGAAGCUGAACAUGAAGACGUUCGCGCUGGAGAUACGGCGGUACCUCGCCGCGUUCUACACACACGGGCAGCGUGCGUCGUCGCAGCCGUCGUCUCGCUUGUCAGCGCGACUGGCGCGUCGCGAAAAGGAUGCCGCGGCGUCCUCCAGCACCGCGGCAGCGUCGGCAAACUUCAGUGACGGCGCGUGGCUCCUGCACCCCAGCCUCAGCGAGCGCAGCAUUGUGUUGUAUCCCCUCUUCGUCGACGCCUUGGCCCUCCGGGUGCGUCUGCCGCCGACGAUGGACAAGGAAGAGGCGCAGGAGUUCUUGCUGUACCUGAGUGAGCUGGAUCGUCAUCUUGAAAGCAUCGACAACGGCGUACGGGUCCGCGACGUCCUCGUUCACGCAGACGGCAUGCACACGGAGCAGGACGAGUUCACUCUCUCGCAGUACGCCCAACGCACCCCGCUUGCCCGGCCACUGGGGCUGAAGAUUGGCGCUCGCGUGAUGCUCCGCACCAACCUUGCCCCGGGGCUCGUGAACGGAAGCCUGGGCACCGUUGUGGCCUUUCGCAAGCUGGAAAUUGACCAGCUUCCGCGUUACAUCGUUGGCAACGCGCAGCGGGAGGAAUCCAUCUUGCAGUACGCCGACUACUUGAAGUACGAGCAGGGCUUCGACGUGCCACUGGCGCCGGUAUUGGACUUCAACGGGCGGCAGGAGGUGAUCCCGCCAGUGACGCACUUUGUUGGAGGGCUGCCCAACACGCACUUCUACAGCAUGGGGAUCAUCGCCCUGCCGCUCUCCUUAGCCUACGCCUUCACGGUGCACAAGGUGCAGGGGCUCACCCUGGUGGGUCGCGUGCACCUGGAGCUGUCCCGCAUGUGGCCGUGUGAACAUCUGCUGUACGUUGCCAUGAGCCGCGUGCGCAACCCGGAGCAGCUGUCGGUAUCCUCUUUUCACCCCAGCCUAGUGCGUGCGGCGGCGGACUGCCUGCUAUUCGAUGACAGCCUGCCGCCGGUGACCCAGGCGCGAAUCGCGCCGUACAUGGUGGCGGCGACCUGGCGGCGCUCAGUGGAGCGACGCAAGAAGACGGUGCUGAGGAAGCGCCUCGAGGCGUACGUGAAGAAGCGCCAGCAGAGGCUGCAGAGUGAGGCGAGUAAAGGCGACAUCCGCGCAGAAAUACGACUCCUGGAGGAGAAGAUGCUAAAGCAGCGGGUGAGGGCGUCGGCCGCGCACCGCAAGCGUCGUAGCACCCCCGGCAAGCUGGGCGCCGUUGCUGGUUCCCCGAUGGUGUGAGAAGCGAGAGGGCCGAUAUGCCGACACCGAUUCAGCGGGUCAUAGGCGAUCCCGCAUUCCCCGAAGUAUGUCUGAGUCUGAUGUUCACUGUUUUGGCCGGUACAUGUGAGGAGGCUGCGGGGGCACCAGCACACACAGAUAUCUGUAUGCGUGCACUGUAUGCCUGUUGAUGGGCGACUCGAUGCAGAAGCCCAGCCCUCUCCACCAUCACCGCCGCCGCCACCGGCCCGCUCCCAUUGGCUUGCAGUCUGUUACCUCCUAAAAGGAAGUGAAAAUCG
rnacentral:misc_RNA from 1 species